UACGUAGGGGGCAAGCGUUGUCCGGAUUUAUUGGGCGUAAAGCGCGCGCAGGCGGCGAUUUAAGUCUCAUGUUUAAACCCGGGGCUCAACUUCGGGUCGCAUGGGAAACUGGGUUGCUUGAGUGCAGGAGAGGAAAGUAGUAUUCCUGGUGUAGCGGUGAAAUGCGUAGAUAUCAGGAGGAAUACUCGUGGCGAAGGCGGCUUUCUGGCCUGUGUCUGACGCUGAGGCGCGAAAGCCAGGGGAGCGAACGGG
rnacentral:rRNA from 1 species